rnacentral:rRNA from 1 species
CCUACGGGAGGCAGCAGUGAGGAAUAUUGGUCAAUGGCCGUAAGCCUGAACCAGCCAAGUCGCGUGAAGGAAGACGGCUCUAUGGGUUGUAAACUUCUUUUGUAGGGGAGUAAAUGUAUCCACGUGUGGGUAUUUGCAUGUAACCUAUGAAUAAGCAUCGGCUAACUCCGGUCCAGCAGCCGCGGUAAUUAGGGGGAUUCGAGCGUUUUCCGGAUUUUAUGGGUUUAAAGGGGUCGGAGGUUGGUAUUUAAGUCAGGGGUGAAAGUUUGUGGCUAAAACAUAAAAGUGCCGUUGAAACUGAAGGACUUGAGUGUGUUUGAGGUAGGCGGAAUGCGUGGUGUAGCGGUGAAAUGCAUAGAUAUCACGCAGAACUCCGAUUGCGAAGGCAGCUUACUAAGCCAUAACUGACACUGAAGCACGAAAGCGUGGGGAUCAAACAGGAUUAGAUACCCUAGUAGUC